rnacentral:lncRNA from 1 species
UUCCCAUCCUGGUCACCCCAGUGCCAGGUACCAGACAAAUAGGGACACAACCACUAUGUCCCAGAGCCUGAGAAAUUAUUUAAGCAAGUGAAUCCUAAAUUGGCUUACCUUGUCUUGCCUGUGGAAACCACAACAAAGACUCGUGGCCAUGCUUUCUCCUCGCCUCUCUGCCUCUUGAUGGAUCCCAGCGCUUGCUCGUGGCAUUGCAUGGUGUGGCAUGCCCCAGCUCUUGGAAACUCAAGAAGGCCCUCAGCAAAUGCUGGCAUCUUUAUCUUGGACUUCCCAGCCUCCAGACAUGUGAGAUACAAACUUCCAUAUAUUAUAUAUUACCUCAUCUGUGGUAUUGUGUUCUAGCAGCCCAAAAUGGACUAAGACAUGAUACCUGAAUAAGAAUAAACCCUACAUUUUUAAAAACAGCCUGUUAGAACAAUUCAAGGGACCGGAAGUUUGCAUUAUGUUGCAAGGCAACAGUUUCAGCAGUGAACUGAUGGCAAAGUUCUUUACCAUCUUAAGCUGAAAAUGGCUUCCCGGUACAUUUCAAUAAUUCUCAGCCUCCAGGGCAAUAGAGAAUGAAUCUAUUCAUGUUUUUCAAGCAAUGAACUAUCAGAUAUCUGAAUACAUAACGGUCUUUCCUCAGAUACCUUUACAAGAAGCACACACAUCAAUCUAUGGAUUUCUUUGAACAUUUUUUCCACUCUUAUUCCUAUAAUAAUUAGCAUUUUGCAAGUCAUUUUGACUUCAGUUACCCAGUGAAUUGAGUGUUUUCUUCCAACAUUCUCAGGUUUUUCAAAGAUUAUUUAUUCAUUCAUUCAUAGAUCAAUUAAGC